ACGGAGGGUGCAAGCGUUGUCCGGAUUUAUUGGGUUUAAAGGGUGCGUAGGCGGCUGAUUAAGUCAGUGGUGAAAGGCAGCAGCUCAACUGUUAGCACGGCCAUUGAUACUGGUUAGCUUGAGUACAGUCGAGGUAGGCGGAAUUGAAGGUGUAGCGGUGAAAUGCAUAGAUAUCUUCAAGAACACCUAUUGCGAAGGCAGCUUACUAGGCUGUAACUGACGCUGAUGCACGAAAGCGUGGGGAUCGAACAGGA
rnacentral:rRNA from 1 species